CGAACCUUGAUCUUUUCUAGGGCUGAUUCGGGUGGUUUUCCUUGGGAAGCAGAGAUUGGUGUCUUGUUUCUGGCCACCACAGCUGGACUAGAUCAACUCCUCCACCGGAUCUGUGAUCGUACUCUAGCCAAGAUCCUGAGAGAAGCAGAGCUUGUGUUGUGAUUCCGGCCACUACAGCUCUGGUGGGGAUUGCUCUUCUUCCUCAGAUCUGUGGUUUGCUCCGGCGAUCAAGAAGAGGUGUUGGAAGCUUCUUUUAUGUGCGGUUCCAGUGGAGCUAAUUACGGUGGAUUGUGUGGAGCAACAUUGGUUAACAGAGGACCUUGAUUGACGACGAGU